rnacentral:lncRNA from 1 species
GAUUUUCUGACCCACAGCCCAAGCCUGGCACGACCCAUAAGGGCUUGGACCAGCACGACCCAUAAGCCAGACACAGCACAGCCCGCAUGCCAGCUUGGCCCCCUUGAAAUGGGACGUCCUAUGGCACAGCCCGUUUGGGCCAUGCCCAGGCACGAUCCAUUUAGGCAUGGCCCAUUUAGGAUUUUUUAAAAUUUAUAAAAAAUAUGUAUGAAUAAAUUUAAAAAAAUUAGGGAC